rnacentral:lncRNA from 1 species
UUUUUUUUUUCUUUCUUUCGGAGCAUAUCAAGAAAAUGGAGCUUAACUGGCUGCAGUAUUUUGAACCAACUGGGAAACUAUAAGCUACUCAACUAGAAUGAAUAACAAUGUAAUGGAACAGACAUAAGAGUACUAAAAGGAUUUUUGAACAAGUACCUUGUUUCCAAAAGUGACUAUGAGCAGGUACCAAGGAAACAAGUGAGAAUUCCACAAGCUUAUAAUCAUAAAGAUGAUCAGAGGGAUGGAACAGGUAUCCUAUGAAGACAGGCUGAGAGAGCUAUGGUUGUUCAACCUGGAGAAGGCUCCAGGGAGACCUUACAGCACUUUCCAGUACCUAAAGAGGACUUACAAAAAAAAAAGGAGAGAACGACCUUUUACAUGUACAGAUAGUGAUAGAACAAGGGGGGAACAGUUUUGAACUCAGAUUUAGAUAGAUGUUAGGAAGAAAUUCUUUAUUCAUAGGGUAGGGAGGUUUGGGAACAGGUUGCUCAGAGAAGCUGUGGAUGCCCGAUCCCUGGAAGUGUUCAAGGCCAGGCUGGAUGGCACUCUGAGCAACCUGGUCUAAGUGAAAGGUCUCUCUGCUCAUGACAGCGGGGCUGAAACUGGAUCAUCCUUAAGGUCCUUUCCAACCCAAGCCUUUCUAUGAUUCUGUGUAUAUUUUCCCAGAUAUUUUUCCAGCUUCCAACCAGAUGGCAUCCUCAGCUGAAUAUCUUGUGAUUUUUUUUUUUGCCUCACCCCCCCAAGUUUAUGAACCCAUCCUCAUAGAUUUCUGUACCAUUAAUUUCCCCAUUCUCUGUGAACCCACAUCAAUCCCAGGCUUUGCCAAGGAGUACUGCAGGUCUAGUGCAUCUUUAGGAAGCACCCUCUUGGCAUGUGUUGAACUCAAGGCCUGUGAGCUCCAAUUGUGGCCACCCUUGCUCUUGUACAAGGAGAGUGAGUGAACUGCCAGUGCCAGCACGUUGUCUGUCCUGCUCCUGUAUUCUACACAAUCCUCUAAACAGGCUGUUCAGGGCAGACCCUUUUCAGAUCUCUCAGACCACUGCAUUACCUGCUAAGGCACCUUGCUGGCCUUUGGGAGGAAGGUAAUACUGAACGCUCACAGCUUUUCUGGACUGGGUGUUGCAGGUUGCCUGUGGUGAGCUGCCUCACAGAAGUGUUUGUGUUGUUUCUUCUUCUAUCUGCCAGGGAUGACUUUAAUAGAUUUUUCCCAUAAGUAAUAAGAUCAUUUAAAAUUAUUGCUUUUACAUAAUACUUGAUGUCUGUCUACACCUUACCUAAUUUUAGAUCAUAUCAGCUAUAAAGCCCUAGCAGUGGCAUAUGUUUCCUUUUCCUUUUAAUAGGUACUUUCCAUAGAAUUUGUCGUUUAACAAUCUGAACUUUUUGAUCAAAUAAGAAACCUAUUUUAUGGGCUUGUUAAUUUAAGACUACCUAGGAUGAAAUUCAGGAUACCAUCCAAUAACCUUUGUCAAUGUUUGCUUUGUAUGUUUCUCAGGAAGCUUCACAAGCCAAUUAUUUCAGCUUCCAUAAUGAGCUGGUUUUGAUGUCUUGCUGUUCAAAACACAUCUAGUUAAGAGUUGUCAUUAACUGUGUUGUCUUCUUUGUUCUGUACAGUUCCAAGCACUUUGACAGAGUACAAAUCAAUACUAAGUAACAAUGGAUGUUUUUUAGGCUUAAUUCCAGGUAUAGCUAUCAUGGAUAAAACUGCCAACAGAUCAGAAGAAUGCAAGAGCCUUUUCUUUCCCAUUGGUUUCAGAAGGCUUAGUGUCUGUGCUAGCCAGACUGGCUUUUAGCAUUUAGUCCCAAAACUGUGCUGCUGUAAAAUGUUCCUUUCUGACAGUGGGAAAAGUCACAAUUAAUAAAUGUCUGAAAUAAACAGCUUACAUCAUUCACGCUUGAGAUUUAAUGCAAUAGAAUACAUCCAGUGGAAUGGUGGAAAGUGUUCUACAAACACAGAAGUACAAAAAGAACCUAAUUUCAAAUAAAAGCAAAACUAAUCCUGGUGGAUAAAAACCAUAAAUUAUUCACGUUAACAAUACCAGCAUUCUCAGAAUCAAUUGGUCUGUGGCUGUAAGCAUACCUCUACUUUAUGUCACCUAUGUACUCCUGCUCUGGGACAUGUGCAAGGACACAAGUCAUCUACCAGAAAGGCAGAAUAGCAGCAAAAGAUGUUAUGCCAUAAGGAGACUUUUGCUUCCACCUGGAGUAGAAGAUGCCUUUGGUGGUUGUGAGCAGUUGGAGCCAAGGUACACAUGAUCAGUGCCAGGCCUGGGCCUGCUGUACUCCUGUUACUUCAGUACUUGCUGAAUAGCCAGGAGGAAAUGUGAUCUGCAGAGCAGUACAGCUCUUAGUCACAAUCUCACUGUGGCAUGUCUGUCUGAGCUUCAGGUAAACUGUUGUCUCAAGAGGACACACAUGGAUUUAAUAUUGUCAGGUCAUGUUCUCAUGUUUUUCUUAGGAGUCAUCAAGGCUAAAAGUUCCUUUAAAUCAAAAACUGAAACUCAGAGGUAAAAGUGUAACUCCUGAACACCUUAGAAGGGAUCUCUAUGUUUUCUGUUCCUUUAUCUCUGUGUGUAAGAAGGCAGUAUGUACAUUUCCCCUCAAUCCUUGAUUAAGAAGGAAGUCUGUCAGAAGCACAGCUGUGUGUGCUGUCCACCAGCACUGCUGGCAACAUUUCUGUGGUGAGCAGGGAGAAUUUUUGGGGAUUUUGGCUUGCCUGGCUUCUAUAUUUUCCAGUUUCCAGUCCCAGGAAUACCCAUAACAUUUGCCCCCAGAGGUUAGAUGCAUAUUUUGUAUUAUACAUGAAUUAAGCUAAAAAACAAUUUUCCAUUUCCAUGUAGCAUUAGGAGACACAUGCUUUGUUAUUUUUUAGUUUCCCCUCACUGCUAAAGAUGCUGUAUUUUUUCUUAUAAAAAAUUCAACCACACCAAUUUAGAAUUGUUGACAUGAAAAAGGUUGCAUUUGCUGUGCUAAGCAAGAGCAUGUUUCCAGUAUCUGUGGCCCUUCUCAUCAAGUUCUAGUUGAGAAACCUGCAAGGAAGCCUGAACCUGAGAAAAUAUAGGGGCAAAGUUUAUAAAGACAAAUUGCAAACCAGAAGCAAAGAUGAGCUACAUUCACUGCAGUGGACUGAAUUUCUGUUGGUGCUCUGUAGUAAUCUGUAAUUACAGACACAUUUUGACUAAACUUUUAUAGUCUUUUUAUUUUUACAAAAUCUAGGUGCUUAUUGGUUUGUUUCAGAAUCUUGUUUUAUUUUUAAAAGGAGACUGAAAAUUGCCUCAAUCUUACUACAAGUGCUUGGCUCAAAAAUAUUGUAAAUGUUGAGUGGCCAUUCCACCAAAUAUUUGCAAGGUGAAGAGUAUGUUUCAUAAAAGAGAAAUCAUCUUGAGAAACCUAUUUGAAAAGAGUCAUUCUGGGGACAGGGAGUAACACUGGAAGAGAAAACUCAUUGGUGGUGGCCAUAUUUAACCAAUUAAACUUUCUUGCUCUUACCACAAGUCUAUUAGCUUUUAGCACAACCUACUACUGUUCAGAAAACCUACCCACCAACUGCUCUGACAUACACUGCCUGUUUUUCAUUGGAAGUGUUUAGGUCCUGCACCAUAGCUGACAGAAACAAGUCUGAGGAUUGGUAUGAAUUCAGUCAGGUUUCAGAUUAGUGUCUUUGUCAGUGGUCGCCAACUGCUGAGGUAGAUCUCUCUUGAAUUCACUAAAGGAAUGCAAAGCCCAUGGAAUAUGUUGCCCUUGAUCUGUGUUCAUUCCAGUGACCUCUGGGACAACUCAGAUGCAUUUGCCUUGGCUUUCUAAUGCAAUGCACAUUUACUUGUGCCAGUCACAAUUUUUUGCUGACCUUUAAUGUCAGUGUAAUACUGUUUAAGAUCACUAUGCUUUGGAAGUGCACCAGUGCAGCACGAAAGAAAAAGAAGGCAGUAGUCAGAAAAUAGGUGUGAGAAGAGGCAGUGAGUGCAACUGCUUUGGGGCAAGCAGAAGAGAUGUGAAUACUUGAUAAAAAAAGGGAGAAGUUUAGAAUGGCAGGCCAAUGUUAGGUAGGCAUUUGGAAAGUUCAUGAAGUUCUUGAGUCUAUAUUGGGCCGCAAAAGGACAAACACAACUAGAUUUGUUUUCCAGAUUUUAGAAUAUAUUCAUCCAACAUUAUUUGGUGACAUGAACAGGUAAUUCUUGCCUAAAUAUCUGUAAACAGUAUAUACUAUCCAGGGCACAGCCAAUACAUAUUGCAUGAGAGGGUGAGCCAUGACUCUGCUGGUCUUCAUACUUGCAAAGCUCAGCUCUGCUCAUCUUGCAUGUUGUUUGUACUUUUGUCUCAAAACUUACAACCACAAGCAAAAGGAACAGACUUGUAAAAUUAUAUUGCCAUCAUCCACAUAAGCAUGAAUUUAGCCUCGUAAAGAAUAAACAGACAAACAAUCAAGGAAAACCCCUCCAAGCAUAUGUAACUAUAGAAGAGGGAUUAAGCUAUUAAAUGGUGUGGAAACAGCAAUUCGUUAGGAGGAAUAAGCCCAUCUGAUUUGUCUGUACUAUAAAGUAUAAUGACAAAUUAUCAGAAGACACUAUUACUUCUAAUUAACAGAGACACAGCUGUAAUGAUUACAUAGUAUUUCAUACAGCAAUAUUCAGCUAAGGCAGAGAAGGAGAAAGGAGGCAGGCAGAAUUCCUCCUAUCAGCUAUGCAGUAUGUGCAUUUGUGGAACAUUUGGAGGUUUGGGAUUUUCUGUUCCUCAUAUCAAGUAUUCUGAAGUUUGUGCUGAUUAGCUGGGAAGCUGGGAUAACCAUAAUGAGUGGAAAAACUAUAAUUACUAAAACAUUUAUAUUAUGUGAAGUAUAUUUUGUAUAUACAUAAUAUAUAUAUAUGACACAGCUGUUGUGCAAGUUGUUGAUCUGGUUGUAAGUUCCCUUGAUUCCAAUUGCUGUGAGUUUAGAUCUGUAGUAAGGCAACAGCUUCAAGAAACUUCUGAAAACCUCAGAUAUUUGGGUUUCUAAAUAGGAAAGAUUUCUCAUAAACAGAGCAAAGGGGCUUGGGAGCCAAAGGAGAAGAGAUGCAUACUUUUAUCCUCUAGUCAAAUACAGGAAAUAGGAAGAAAAUGAAGCCCAAGAGUCUCUUCCUUCUUUGAUUCAUGACAUUCACUUCUACUUGCAAGUGUUUUCUCCAGGGUAAGAAAUGGGCCCCUAAUAUGAAAAAAACAUCUGAAACUCUAUUCAAAAUCUCCCAUCUCUCACCAAUUGUAGGUCAGAGACAAGAGGCCAAAUAAGAAGAAAGCAGAGGAAAAGGAGAAAAAGCAGAGAUGAGCAGUGGGCAUCAGCUCCAUACCUUCUAAAACUUUCCACCCUAGAGUUGUACUCAUAACACCUGAUUUUGUCCUUCCCUUCCCCCCUCCCCUGCCAGCUUCCUAAAACAAUGGCUGACCUGCUGCUGAGCUUAGAGGGGGUUGCAGAGAAUUGGUAUUUCUGGGUACAGGUAUAUAUUUCAUUACAGCACUAUAGAAAGUGCUGAGCAUCAUCUUGAAGAGCUGUAAAAGAGGACCUUCAAAGAGGAUACCAAAUGCAUUAUCAGGGGAGCUCAGCCUCUUCCUGUCCCAUGGACUUGUGCAAAAUCCCAUGAUGGUUUUCUCUGUCACUCUUCUAGUAACAUAUAAGAAGCUAUCAGAGGAGGAUCUAGUAGACUUUUAAGAGCACUUUUAAGAGCCAGAUGAUACCAAGUUCUCGAAACUCAGCACAUCUGAACUAUCAAUGCUUUUGUUGAAAGAUAGUAUUGCAGCAACUUAGCAGGCUACUCUUACACUUCAGCGUUUCCCUUCCUAAUUUUUCUUUUUUUAAUCUUCUAAGAGGGGGGAAAAAAACUUCAUGUUUAGUAAAUUAGCAGGUACUUUUACAAAAUAAUUUCUUAUUCAUAUGUGUAACUACCUGUGUGCAUCUAGAAUGAUGAUUACCUUUUUUACAAGAAUGACUCUUUUUAGGACUCAUCUGUAUUCUUUACAGAUGGAUUGCCUCUACUGAGUCACAAUUAUUGGCAUGAAUUCUUACACUACCCAGGGGACUGUUAACUACCUUUAAUUGCUGACAGUGGCUCACCUUCUUGAAGGCAAGAAGGCUUUAACUACCAGAUAGGUGCCAACAAUCUAGAAUUGGAAUAGGAAUACCUAUUCCCAGGCUAGUGCAGCCAUUAGACAACUCUCUCUCUAUGCCGCAGUAAACCAAAGCACACAGGUCCAGAAACACUGGCUUGGAGCACUGCCUAAACGCCAUGGUGCUUCUAAGUUAAAAACCUGAGACCUUGUGUAUGUGAGGUUUACUUCAGCAACUAAUUUUUUUGCAGCA